GACGAACGCCGGCGGCGUGCUUAAAAACAUGCAAGUCGAACGGACUUCUCAUGAAGCUUGCGAUUGAGAAGUUAGUGGCGGACGGGUGAGUAACGCGUGGGCAACCUGCCCCUGAGCCCGGGAUAACAGUUCGAAAGGACUGCUAAGACCGGAUAUACUUGCGGGGAAGCAUUUCUCUGUAAGGAAAGGGAACGCUCAGGGAUGGGCCCGCGUCCCAUUAGCUAGUUGGUGAGGUAACGGCCCACCAAGGCGACGAUGGGUAGCCGGCCUGAGAGGGUGAACGGCCACACUGGGACUGAGACACGGCCCAGACUCCUACGGGAGGCAGCAGUUGGGAAUCUUCGGCAAUGGGCGCAAGCCUGACCGAGCAACGCCGCGUGAGUGAUGAAGGUUUUCGGAUUGUAAAGCUCUGUCUUCCGGGACGAUAAUGACGGUACCGGAGGAGGAAGCCACGGCUAACUACGUGCCAGCAGCCGCGGUAAGCUCGU
rnacentral:rRNA from 1 species